AACGAACGCUGGCGGCAGGCCUCAUACAUGCAAGUCGAGCGAUUAAGACUCCUUCGGGAGUGUAUAAAGCGGCGAACGGGUGAGUAACAGGUGGAUGAUCUACCUUCCGGUGGGGGAUAACGGCUGGAAACGGCCGCUAAUACCGCAUUCGGUUAAUACGCUGUGGCGUAUUAAAGAAAGGCGCCUCAAAGCGCCGCCGGGAGAUGAGUCCGCCCCCCAUUAGCUAGUUGGUGAGAUAACAGCUCACCAAGGCAACGAUGGGUAGCCGAACUGAGAGGUUGAUCGGCCACACUGGAACUGAGACACGGUCCAGACACCUACGGGUGGCAGCAGUAGGGAAUAUUGGGCAAUGGGCGAAAGCCUGACCCAGCCAUGCCGCGUGAGUGAUGAAGGUCCUAGAGAUUGUAAAACUCUUUUCUGAGGAAAGAAUGAAUAGGAAGGAAAUGUCCUUAUUUUGACGGUACCUCAGGAAUAAGGAACGGCUAACUCCGUGCCAGCAGCCGCGGUAAACUCG
rnacentral:rRNA from 1 species